rnacentral:tRNA from 1 species
GGGGAUGUGGCUUAGUGGUACAGUGCUUGCCUAGCAUGCAUGAAGCCCUGGGUUCAGUUCCUCAGUACCCCA